rnacentral:tRNA from 1 species
GCAGGGCUAGCUAAGUGGUUAACAGCGCCGGACUCAAGAUCCGGUCCCGUAGGGGUACGAGAGUUCGAAUCUCUCGCCCUGCACCA